rnacentral:rRNA from 1 species
GACGAACGCUGGCGGCGUGCCUAACACAUGCAAGUCGAACGGAGUUAAGACUUCGGUUUUAACUUAGUGGCGAACGGGUGAGUAACGCGUGAGAAACCUGCCUUUCAGUGGGGGACAACAGUUGGAAACGACUGCUAAUACCGCAUAAUGUUAUUUGGGGGCAUCCCUGAAUAACCAAAGCUUUAUGUGCUGAAAGAUGGUCUCGCGUCUGAUUAGCUAGAUGGCGGGGUAACGGCCCACCAUGGCGACGAUCAGUAGCCGGUCUGAGAGGAUGAACGGCCACAUUGGGACUGAGAUACGGCCCAGACUCCUACGGGAGGCAGCAGUGGGGAAUAUUGGGCAAUGGGGGAAACCCUGACCCAGCAACGCCGCGUGAAGGAAGAAGGCCUUCGGGUUGUAAACUUCUUUUACCAGGGACGAACGACAAUGACGGUACCUGGAGAAAAGACAACGGCUAACUACGUG